rnacentral:rRNA from 1 species
CUACGUGCCAGCAGCCGCGGUAAUACGGAGGGUGCGAGCGUUAAUCGGAAUAACUGGGCGUAAAGGGCACGCAGGCGGUGACUUAAGUGAGGUGUGAAAGCCCCGGGCUUAACCUGGGAAUUGCAUUUCAUACUGGGUCGCUAGAGUACUUUAGGGAGGGGUAGGAUUCCACGUGUAGCGGUGAAAUGCGUAGAGAUGUGGAGGAAUACCGAUGGCGAAGGCAGCCUCCUGGGAUAACACUGACGUUCAUGCUCGAAAGCGUGGGUAGCAAACAGGAUUAGAUACCCUGGUAGUCCACGCCCUAAACGAUGUCAAUUAGCUGUUGGGCAACUUGAUUGCUUAGUAGCGUAGCUAACGCGUGAAAUUGACCGCCUGGGGAGUACGGUCGCAAGAUUAAAACUCAAAGGAAUUGACGGGGACCCGCACAAGCGGUGGAUGAUGUGGAUUAAUUCGAUGCAACGCGAAGAACCUUACCUGGUCUUGACAU